AUUGAACGCUGGCGGCAGGCCUAACACAUGCAAGUCGAACGAGUGGCGGAGGGGUGAGUAAUGUCAGUGAGACAUCCUGAUGUAGGGGGAUAACUAAUGGAAACGGUAGCUAAUAUCGCAUACCAUCAGAUGUGCCCAGAUGGGAUUAGCUUGUUGGUGGGGUAACGGCUCACCAAGGCGACGAUCCCUAGCUGGGCUGAGAGGAUGACCAGCCACACUGGAACUGAGACACGGUCCAGACUCCUACGGGAGGCAGCAGUGGGGAAUAUUGCACAAUGGGCGAAAGCCUGAUGCAGCCAUGCCGCGUGUAUGAAGAAGGCCUUCGGGUUGUAAAGUACUUUCAGCGGGGAGGCGUUACCCGCAGAAGAAGCACCGGCUAACUCCGUGCCAGCAGCCGCGGUAAUAC
rnacentral:rRNA from 1 species